rnacentral:lncRNA from 1 species
GAAGAGACCAAGGCAACACGAACAGGUAGAAUAGAAUCACAACAAAUAUCAUUCAAUUGUUCGAAUGAAAUGAUAACACGGCGCCAUUAGCCACGGGUUACAGACGCGGAUUGGGUUGAGUUUACCAAACGGGUCGAAAAGAAGAAUUACAAGCGCAGUUACAUAGUACCGAUAAUGUGUGGUGUAAUCAUCAUAGAGUGGUCAUUAGUUGAUCGGUGAAUUGAAAUUAAAUUAAAUUGAAUCAACCGACGCGUCUGCGUGGCGCCGCGUGGGAACGUGGGAGCGCGAGCUCCGGCCCGUCUCAGUGCAGGUAGUAGGCGACGAGGGAGACGAGGAGCGCGGCGGCGCCGGGCGCGCCGGCGAAGGCGCCGCUGGUGGCCGGGGCGGUCGCUCCGGCCGCGGCGCUGGCAGCCGCGCCGGUCGCGCCGGGGGACUCGGCCGGCGCCUCCGUGGCCGGGGAGGUCGCCGCGACCAGGGAGGCGGAGGCCACCAGGGCGAUCAGCACGGCGCAGGCGAUCUUCUUCAUCUCCAUGGCUUCUGCCUCUCUCUCCUCGCGGGUACGGUACGGUUGCACGGGGCCUGCGCAAAAGAAACAAACAGCAAGCGGCUAGGCGGUCGAGGAGGAGAGGUCGGCCGGCGAGGCGCGGUUUAUUCCGGUGGUGGGAGCGGGGCGGUGGGGGGAGGGCGGCUCGGUCGCUCUCUGGAAGGCCUGGGAGAGGGUGGGGUGGCGCGGCGCCGCGUUUUGUAGGGCGCGCGAGCGGCCAUGAGAGGGCCUCGCCUGGCCGUCGGUUGCCG